GUUGGACGACUUGGUAUAGAAAAGUACUCCGAAUUUUGCGCUGACUUUUCCACAAUCGAUGACUGUAACCGUUAUGGAAAAAUAAUAAACUAUAUUAUUGAUGUUGCUGAUGCCUUCGAAAAAGAAGGGCUUUGCUAAAAUAUAGUCAAGACACUAUUGUAAAAAUACUUAAUUUUGUGUUUCAUUAUUAAUUAAUGAAAUAAAAAAGAUUAAUUGGAAUAAAAUGUUUGGAUAGUUUUUAAUAUAAAUUUUUGGAAAACAA